AAAAUGGUGACCCAAACCCUCACCAGAGUAGCAAUUGGAGGGCAAGUCUGGUGCCAGCAGCCGCGGUAAUUCCAGCUCCAAUAGCGUAUAUUAAACUUGUUGCAGUUAAAAAGCUCGUAGUUGUAUUUUUGCGUUGACGGUUUGACCAUUUGGUUGGUUAUUUCGUUUUCGCUUUUGGGAAUUUCCCUUUUUACUUUGAGAAAAUUAGAGUGUUUCAAGCAGACUUUUGUCUUGAAUACUUCAGCAUGGAAUAAUAGAGUAGGACUUUGGUUCUAUUUUGUUGGUUAUUGAACCUUAGUAAUGGUUAAUAGGAACGGUUGGGGGCAUUCGUAUUUAACUGUCAGAGGUGAAAAUUCUUAGA
rnacentral:rRNA from 1 species